rnacentral:misc_RNA from 1 species
UACACAAAAUUAUGUGAAAUUUUAUGCUAAAAUUUACAUCGGAAAAGAAAAGUAAUAAAAUACUUGAUCACUCAAUGGAAAUUCAAAGGGAUAGUGAAGAUUCCCUCUGACUUUCUUAUAACUAUUUGUGCUUUGAACGUCGUAAAAAGAUGAUCGGUUUUGUGGCACAGAAUUUUGAAUUAAACAGAAUUCUGUUACUCAUUGUGGGUUUGUGGCCUUUACAACAAUCGAAUUUAACACGACUGCAGUUUAUUUUCAUGUCCGCUUUUAUGACAGCGGAUAUUAUAUUUAUAAUGAAGGAUUUAUUGAUACAACUUCAGGAUGUAUGUAACGAAUUAAAAGAUAAAAACGAAAUUGCUAUUAUGAAAGAAUAUGGUUAUAUUGCAAGCUGUUACACAACUGCAUUUACAAUAGCAACCGUUUGUGGCUUGUUUGGUUAUAUUCUUAUGAUAUUUUGGCCGGAUAUUAUGCAUAUUAUAUUACCAAAUGUAACUCAAUCACAUCAACUGCCGUUUAAAAUGGAAUAUUUUAUCGAUCAAGAAAAAUAUUUCUAUUGGAUUGCGUUAUAUGUCGUAGUAGCAACAUGUAUCGGGAUGACUUCAAUGAUAGGAAUAGGAUCUAUCCUUAUCAUGUAUCUUCAAUGUACCUGUGGCAUGUUUAGAAUUUCCCGUUAUCGUAUUAGAUGCGCAGUGCAUAUUAAUAUGCUAGAAAACAUUAAAUCGAGAAAAGACAUUUUAAUAUUAGAAGGAAUAAUUAGUGCCAUAAAUAUACAUCAGCAAGCUAUGAAAUUAUCCAAACUUUUGACGUCUGAAAUUGAGACAAUGAUGUGCUGCUUAAUAGUACUCGGAGUGAUUUCUUUGAGUCUUAAUCUCUUUCAAGUUUCUCGGGUUGUUUCAUACGGAUAUGAUAUCAAAGAGUUGUUAAUUCCUUUUGCAUUUAUAGCUAUCGGUAUCUUAUACAUGUUUAUCAGCAAUUAUGUUACACAGAAUGUAACGGAUCACAACAAUGACAUUUUUGCUACUGUAUAUGACGUCCAGUGGCAUGUAACACCGUUACAUAUACAGAAAGUAAUACUGUUUCUACUGCAAAGAGGAGCCAAAGAUUUUACUUUAGGUGCCGGUGGAUUAUUUGUCGGAUCGUUAGAAUGUUUCACCAUGCUGGUGAAAACUUCAUUCUCUUAUUUUACUGUGAUAUAUUCAACGCAAUAAUAAGAUAUGUUCAAUGUUUUCAAUAUGAAUGAUGUUUAUCUCAAAGAUGUGUACGCCAUGAGUAUGAGCAAUAGAAUGUGUAAAUUUGUGGUAUAAAAAAUAUAGCAAAUACGCAUGUGCGACUUGCGCUCAAAUAUUCGCCCGAUAAAUAUUUUUUCCUAUAGUAAACACCUAUUAGAACAUCCCUGCUAUUAUAUCGAUCGUAUAAUUAGAGAUGUUGCUGCGAAAAAUACUGUCAUAUUAUAAAUAUUCUACUUUUAUCACUUUAUAUAGUUGCAUAAAAUUACACCAAAUUGUGUGAACUUUAGUUGCCCUUCACAAAAAUAUAUGUUAAAAUUUAUAUCACAAAAGAGAAGUAAUACAAUAUUCGCUCGAUCAAUAAAAGAAGAAAAGGAUGAGUAAAGAUUCUCUUUGACUUUCUCGCAGUUAUUUCUGCUCCGAACGUCGUAAAAAGAUGAUCAGUUUCACCGCACAGAAUUUUAAACUAAACAGAAUUCUGUUACUCAGUGUUGGUUUGUGGCCUUUACAACAAUCAAAUUUAACACGACUUCAGUUUAUUUUCAUGUCCGUUAUUAUAACAGCGGGUACUCUAUUUCUGCUUACGGCAUUUAUUACAUUAAGAUGUACUCCGGACCUCGUCACUGAAAUUUUAUCUUACGUAUGUUUCUAUAGUACUUUCGUGAUACAGUAUAACUUAUUUCGUUUUAACAUAAAAGAUGUAAGUUGAUAGUUUAUAAAAUUGAUAACUUAUAAGAACUGAUAAUUCACUAGUUCAUAGCUUGAUCGUGUGAUAAAAAAAUUCUG